rnacentral:rRNA from 1 species
CGUAGGGCGAAGCGUUAUCCGGAUUUACUGGGUGUAAAGGGAGCGUAGACGGUGAUGUAAGUCAGAUGUGAAAGCCCGGGCGUCAACCCGGGACUGCAUUUGAAACUAUGUCAACUAGAGUGCAGGAGAGGUAAGUGGAAUUCCUAGUGUAGCGGUGAAAUGCGUAGAUACUUAGGAGGAACACCAGUGGCGAAGGCGGCUUACUGGACUGUAACUGACGUUGAGGCUCGAAAGCGUGGGGAGCAAACAGGAUU